GUUUCCCACGCUGUGCUCCGUGUGU
rnacentral:piRNA from 1 species